ACCCCUGGAGCUUUCCUGCUGGCAGAUCUUCCUCUGGCCCAUCACAUCUGUCCCUCAUGGAGAAUCCAGCAGCAGUGCAGGAGCUGGGCAUCAAGGAGAUCACAGAAUUCCUGAGUUGGAAGGGACCCACAGGGAUCAUGGAUCCAACUCCUGGUCCUGCACCAGACCACCCUGAGAAUCCCACCACGUGCCUGAAGUGCUCUGUGGCCUUCUCCAAAGCUCUCAGAGCAAUCAGGGGACUCCAUUUACUGCACUUUCAAACGAUUAGCUGGGUCUGUGAGCCUCUUUUCCAACAAAUAAACUGUUUUUCCCA